AAUAGAUACCCUGGUAGUCCAUGCCGUAAACGUUGGGCGCCAGGUGUGGGGCUCUUUCCACGAGUUCCGUGCCGCAGCAAACGCAUUAAGCGCCCCCGCCUGGGGAGUACGGCCGCAAGGCUAAAACUCAAAGGAAUUGACGGGGGCCCGCACAAGCGGCGGAGCAUGCGGAUUAAUUCGAUGCAACGCGAAGAACCUUACCAAGGCUUGACAUGGGGCGAAAACUGUUAGAGAUAGCAGGUCCGCAAGGGCGCCUCACAGGUGGUGCAUGGUUGUCGUCAGCUCGUGUCGUGAGAUGUUGGGUUAAGUCCCGCAACGAGCGCAACCCUCGUUCUAUGUUGCCAGCACGUUAUGGUGGGGACUCAUAGGAGACUGCCGGGGUCAACUCGGAGGAAGGUGGGGAUGACGUCAAAUCAUCAUGCCCCUUAUGUCUUGGGUCUUCACGCAUGCUACAAUGGCCAGUACAAAGGGCUGCGAGACCGUAAGGUGGAGCGAAUACCCAAAAGCUGGUCUCAGUUCGGAGUCGGGGU
rnacentral:rRNA from 1 species